AUGGGGAGUGUCCUGCGAGGUCUGGAGGUCACCGAGGCGGGCGAGGAGGACGCUGAGGGAGGGAUGCGAGAACUCAACGCACCGGCAGGGGGAGCCCGAGUAAGCAGGAAGCAAGGGCCUGGGAGUGGGCGGCCGGCGGUAGGCCGACCGAGGUUACCCGCGGGCGACCGUCGUGACGCAGUCCCCGGCCCGGAUCUGGAGAAGAGAAGAGCCGGUAGGAGUAGGCCAGCCCCUCUGAGAGGAUGGUCCCUCGGGAGAGUCCACUUCCUCCAUCCUCCCAACUUGGGGGUGGGACUGAGGAAGGGAGAAGGAAGCCAACAUGACCUAAUUUUAUCCCCUCAAGGACACUGCAAGGUCAGCAUUGACCCCAUUUUACGGAUGAGACAACUGAGACUCCGAGAGGUGGACACACUCCAGUAAACCUGCAGCUCAGAGUCGCUUUCCAGGACUGCAGUCUGCAGUUCUCGUCACAGUCAGAGCCCAACCUUGGCACUCACUGAGAUCCAGUCCAGGUCACCAACUGGACUCAAUACUGCUUACGGGCAGAGCCUACGUUCAGCUCCGGUGCGUGCUCUGAUCCUAGUCCCAGACUGAGCCCCGGUGUCAGCCACAGGCUGAGCCCUGACUCUAAGCACAGACUGAGUCCCAGACUGAGGCCUGAGCCUGGCCGCAGGCUGAGCCCAAGUAGCUCAUGGAAGUCAGAGGACACUUAAGACAGAACUAAGGGAGAGUAAGUGGAAGGGACGGGAGUCUGACUGAGACCAAGGGUAGGAGCAGAGUAAACCUCACUGGAGGAGGCUGGCUGACGACCCCAUCAGCCAUGCCCGCAGAGUCGCAGAAUCUCACCUCUCAGGGAGGUGUUUUCAAAAACGACUAACUGGGACCUACUUCUUCUUUUCACUAUUUGUUUUCUUGGCUGGAUCCUGAGGCGGCUGAGUUGCGGCACUCAGGAUCUUCGAUCUUCAUUGCAGCAUGUGCGAUUUUUAGUUGUGGCGUGCGGGAUCUAGUUCUCUGACCAGGGAUCGAACCCGGGACGCCUGCAUUGGGAACACGGAGUCUUAGCCACUGGACCACCAGAGAGCUUCUUUAUGGAACAUCAAUACGAACUGGAAACGAGAAGCAUCAUCGUAGCUGCCGUUUCUCAAGCAGGGAGGGUCCUGGGCUCCACGGAAUGACCCUACUGUCUCCUCAGAGCCGCCCUGGGGGCCUCUCUUGUCACCCAUUUGGCAGAGGAGGAAGCCUCACCCAUGGCAGAACCAUUCAGACCCUGGACCGGUCUGUGCCUCUGUGGUAUCUAGGCUCAAGCAGAGGCUGGUCUCCCAAAGAAACGCCACCCAGGGGCUUCCCCGCCCCCACCGUGGGUCACCUGAACCAGCUGCUGACCAAGUCCCCACGCCUGCAGGGCAGCAAGGGAGUGAGGAACAGGGGUGGGUGGUCCUUGAGUAAGUAACUGCAGUCAGCCCCUGCUUCAGGCAGCACACUGCUCCUCUCAGGGCCCUCCAAUUCAUAUGCUCUGAUUCCCACACCAUCUCCUUGAGGUUGGCACUAUGGUGGUGGGCACGGCACAGGUGAGGAAACAGCCCGGGCAGGGGACAAAGCUUGCCCAGACCUGCAGAGCUGGGAUUCACCUUGAGAGUUCCUGACACUUGUUCUCCUGUCCUCUCUUCAUCUGAAUGGAAGAGUGAAGGCCGUAGCUAACAGAAUGUUUGGAUCCCCCAAAAUUGAUGUGCUGAAACCUAACCCCCCAGUGUGAGGGUAUUUAGAGGUGGGGCCUUUGGGAGGUGAUGAGGUCUUCCAGCGUGAAGCCCUCAAGAAUGGGAUACUGCCCUUUAAAAGAGGCCCCCGGGAGAUCUCUCCCUUGUCUCUUCUACCUUGUAUUGUGGUUCAGUGUCCGACUCUCUCUGACCCCAUGGACUGCAGCACACCAGGCUUCCCUGUCCUUCACCAUCUCCCGGAGGGUGCUCAAGCUCAUGUCCGUUGUGUUGAUGAUACCAUCCACCUUGUGAGGUUAUACCCAAAAGAUGGCCGAACCAGGAAGUGGGCUCUUACCAGACACUGAAUCUGGCAGCACCUUGAUCCUGGACUUUUCAACCUCCGGAACUGUGAGAAAAAGGUCUUUUGUUCAAAGCCACCCCACCCCCUCCACCAGCCUGCGAUAUUCUGUUAUAGCAGCAUGAAUUGGACUAAGUGGCUAAGGCAGCCACUUUCCCUAUCUGCGCACACUGUUGAUCCUUCCAUCUGUCUAUCCACUCAUCCAUCCACGCAUCCAUGUACCCACCUAACCAUCUAUGCAUCCAUCUAUCCAUCCACAGCUGUGCAGUGAGUAUCCUCUACGUACCAGGUGUGGCCUGGGUACUGGGACGGGGGGCAGGGCCCACCCUAUGUGGCAUGUACAGGCUGGCAAAGGAGCCAUGUAUUGAAAACACAUCCACCAAAACAAAUGCAUCACCAUUGUGCUUAGCGCUGGGAAGAAGCAAUCCAGGAUGCUGUGAGUGGGUGUAACAGGACCAUCUCUCUAGGGAGUGUUCUCUGGGCCUUGGGAGCUGGUGGGCGGGAGACGCUGAGAUGGCCCUACGGGCUUAGCCUCAGGGCACAGGAGCUCAAUAACGCCCCAACCGCCAGCUAGUUUGGUGAGGCUGCGGCCAGCCCAACUGGCCCCUCCAGUAGGUGGGCUCCUGGAGGCGUGGCUGCAGCAGGAAGUAAGUCUGGAGGUGAAUGGAGGGUGUGGGUCUUCCCCCAGAUUUGCUUUGCAAGCCAUGCUACAUGGGGCCGGAAGCCGCGAAGAACUGCAAUCAGAGCUCUAGGAGACAGGAGAGAGGAUAUUUCAGGAGGGAGGAACUGCAUGAACAUCCGAGUGGAGGUGAGAGACAGUAGGUGGACCCAGGGUGGGGGAGCAAGAGGAGGAAAGGGAAG
rnacentral:lncRNA from 1 species